GGAGCCCGAGCUGCUGAACCUUUUCGUCUAGGCCACUAGGAGCUCUCCAGCUAGCUAACCUGCUCAAUUCCCAUAUGCUUCCAUUUGCUCGCUCGACGUCGUAAACGUCUGUGCUGCAUCCCGGCGAGCUCUUUCCCAGCCUCUCGCCGGCGAGGUAUCCCUACCCCCUAGCCAAUUUUUUUGGCCGUGUAAAAGCCGCCUACAACUUGACCAUUACCUUUUGUCCCCUUUCUCCCUCUUCUCUGCUAUUUUAGCAUCAAAACGAUCGUCGAAUAAAACCGAACUUGAUCGAUCUUAUCCGCAGCUUAAUUAUCAAAAGCGUAGCUUCAUCCGCAUGGCUAAAGACGACACAACAGGUAUGCCUAAAAUCUAAC
rnacentral:lncRNA from 1 species